UGAAGAGCCGCGGCGCUGGCUGGCCCUGGCGCACAAGCCCUGGCUCGCGGUCAAGAAAUCGAAGGAGGAGAGAAAGCUGUAGUUGAUUUGGGUUCUGUGCCUUCCAUGCUUAGUACUAGUAGUAUCCUAUGCUUAGUAGUUUGCUUCCGUGUUCUGAACCUGAUGGGCAAAUACUGUGUUCGCCGAGUUAUAUGAUUCAGUUAACGAAUUGUUCUCUAGUUAUGAAUUAUGCUAAUGACGAUGCUAUUCUGUUUUACAACUCUUUGUGCUACCGCAUUUAGCUUGUUGCAAAUCCUGUGAUGCAAUUGUUUUCUGUCCGUCUUGUAUUUCUUUUCUGCAGCUGUUUGUCUGUUGAUUCGUGGCUGUCUUCUGCAGAUCCCGCAACUAAUUGUGUGAAU
rnacentral:lncRNA from 1 species